rnacentral:rRNA from 1 species
UACGUAGGGGGCAAGCGUUGUCCGGAAUCAUUGGGCGUAAAGAGCGUGUAGGCGGCUCGGUAAGUCCGCUGUGAAAGUCCAGGGCUCAACCCUGGAAUGCCGGGUGGAAACUGUCGAGCUAGAGUUCGGUAGAGGAGUGUGGAAUUCCUGGUGGAGCGGUGAAAUGCGCAGGAGAUCAGGAGGAACACCCGUAGCGAAGGCGGCACCUCUGGGGCCAAUACUGACACUGAGGAGCGAAAGCGUGGGGA